UGAAGGAGGGCAUCGGUUUGUGUGCAUUCCAGAUUCUCCUUAUCAGUGUUCAUGGAUAAAGGUGUGACCAGACUUUCUUCCUGCCUACUAGCUCCAUUUGCAGAUUUUCAUGGUUAAACUGGCCAAACAAUCAUUGCAAGCACCUAAACUGAGUUGUGUAUUUAGGAAGCUGUUAUCUCUGAAGUGGAGUACAAGGUCUCCUGUUCUAGUUGAACUCUGCUGUCGCCCCCUUCUCUGUUCUGACCCACUUGUCAACCAAUCAACGUUCAGUGGAAGCCGAUGUCUUCAACUUCCAGUGACGCACAGUCAGGAUCUUAAGGACUAUCCAGUCCUGUGCGUGGGAAUCCCCUCCACAUCCGAACGGAAGCUUGUACACAGAAGGACACAUUUGAAGAACCGUAACUUAAGAGGGCUGACAAAUGAA